rnacentral:rRNA from 1 species
GCAGAGAACUUUACCAGAGAUGGAUUGGUGGCCUUCGGGAACGUCUGACACAGGUGCUGCAUGGCUGUCGUCAGCUCGUGUCGUGAGAUGUUGGGUUAAGUCCGUAACGAGCGCAACCCUUGUCCUUAGUUACCAGCACGUUAUGGUGGGCACUCUAAGGAGACUGCCGGCGACAAACCGGAGGAAGGUGGGGGAUGACGUCAAGUCAUCAUGGCCCUUACGGCCUGGGCUACACACGUGCUACAAUGGUCGGUACAAAGGGUUGCCAAGCCGCGAGGUGGAGCUAAUCCCAUAAAACCGAUCGUAGUCCGGAUCGCAGUCUGCAACUCGACUGCGUGAAGUCGGAAUCGCUAGUAAUCGUGAAUCAGAAUGUCACGGUGAAUACGUUCCCGGGCCUU